CACCGCCCGUCACACCAUGGGAGUCAGUUGCUCCAGAAGUCACCGCGCUAACCGCAAGGAGGCAGGUGCCCAAGGAGUGGCUGGUAACUGGGGUG
rnacentral:rRNA from 1 species